CAUGCAGUCGAGGGGCAGCAUCAUCAAAGCUUGCUUUGAUGGAUGGCGACCGGCGCACGGGUGAGUAACACGUAUCCAACCUGCCGACAACACUGGGAUAGCCUUUCGAAAGAAAGAUUAAUACCGGAUGGCAUAGUUUUCCCGCAUGGGAUAAUUAUUAAAGAAUUUCGGUUGUCGAUGGGGAUGCGUUCCAUUAGGCAGUUGGCGGGGUAACGGCCCACCAAACCAACGAUGGAUAGGGGUUCUGAGAGGAAGGUCCCCCACAUUGGAACUGAGACACGGUCCAAACUCCUACGGGAGGCAGCAGUGAGGAAUAUUGGUCAAUGGACGAGAGUCUGAACCAGCCAAGUAGCGUGAAGGAUGACUGCCCUAUGGGUUGUAAACUUCUUUUAUACGGGAAUAAAGUUAGCCACGUGUGGCUUUUUGUAUGUACCGUAUGAAUAAGGAUCGGCUAACUCCGUGCCAGCAGCCGCGGUAAUACGGAGGAUCCGAGCGUUAUCCGGAUUUAUUGGGUUUAAAGGGAGCGUAGGCGGGUUGUUAAGUCAGUUGUGAAAGUUUGCGGCUCAACCGUAAAAUUGCAGUUGAUACUGGCGACCUUGAGUGCAACAGAGGUAGGCGGAAUUCGUGGUGUAGCGGUGAAAUGCUUAGAUAUCACGAAGAACUCCGAUUGCGAAGGCAGCUUACUGGAUUGUAACUGACGCUGAUGCUCGAAAGUGU
rnacentral:rRNA from 1 species